rnacentral:rRNA from 1 species
UACGAAGGGGACUAGCGUUGUUCGGAAUUACUGGGCGUAAAGCGCGCGUAGGCGGACCUGCAAGUCGGGGGUGAAAGCCCGAGGCUCAACCUCGGAACUGCCUUCGAUACUGCGGGUCUCGAGUCCGGGAGAGGUGAGUGGAAUUCCUAGUGUAGAGGUGAAAUUCGUAGAUAUUAGGAAGAACACCAGUGGCGAAGGCGGCUCACUGGCCCGGUACUGACGCUGAGGCGCGAAAGCGUGGGGAGCAAACAGG